rnacentral:rRNA from 1 species
CCUACGGGGUGCUGCAGUGGGGAAUAUUGGACAAUGGGCGAAAGCCUGAUCCAGCCAUGCCGCGUGUGUGAAGAAGGCCUUCGGGUUGUAAAGCACUUUCAGUGGGGAAGAAAGCCUUGGGGCUAAUACCCUCGAGGAAGGACAUCACCCACAGAAGAAGCACCGGCUAACUCCGUGCCAGCAGCCGCGGUAAUACGGAGAGUGCGAGCGUUAAUCGGAAUUACUGGGCGUAAAGCGCGCGUAGGCGGUCUGAUAAGCCGGUUGUGAAAGCCCCGGGCUCAACCUGGGAACGGCAUCCGGAACUGUCAGGCUAGAGUGCAGGAGAGGAAGGUAGAAUUCCCGGUGUAGCGGUGAAAUGCGUAGAGAUCGGGAGGAAUACCAGUGGCGAAGGCGGCCUUCUGGACUGACACUGACGCUGAGGUGCGAAAGCGUGGGUAGCAAACAGGAUUAGAUCCCCGAGUAGUC